CUCCUCUUUCUCAACAGUAGCUGCAUGUUUUGCAAUGACCAUAUGAAAUACUCCCUCCCUGAUACCACAGCCGCUACCAUCCUCACACUGGCCACAAUGUCUCUGUUCUCUCCCUGCUUUUCUCAGAAAAUCCAAGAUGGAUGUGCAUUCCACUGUGGAACACAUGGCCAUGCUGGAUAUAUUUUUUCCCACAGACGUUGAACCAGGCAGAGAAAGAGAGAAGCAAACAGGAAAGGAAGGAAAGAAAGAAGAAAGCUUUGCUGCUGGUAUUCUGCUUGUGCAAAUAGGUGCAACCGGAAUACUGACUGUCUGUCCUUUUUAUGCUGCAGAAGAUAACUAAGCUUGAUUUACAGAAGAUCAAAAUAGAAGAAAAGGGCCAGUUUCUUCUAACUAUGAAGUCCAGUGGCCAUUACUAUGGAUUAAGCCGAGAAGCAGUGGAAUUAGUUGCCAGAGAAAGUCUUGCUUGCUGCACCCACAUGGAGAUAGAGGGAGAAAAUGGGAUCCCAGGCUCACCUUGACCUGCAGGAAUUAUGAUUCAUCCGAGGGAGGUGAUCAUGUUCUGAGAUCAGCAAUCAAAAAAAACCCAGAGAUUAUGCAUAUUUUUACAUUUCCAGGAAAGACUGCCAUCUCAUCUGAUACAGAGGACAGUUGCAAUAUGGAGGAAGACAGCAGAUUUCUAUUAUUUUGAUUGGCAAUAUAAAAUAAGCUGAAAUAUGAAAGCAGAAAAUUCUACUGCUUCUAUUCUGUUUAUCCUUCUUCCACACCACCCCCUACACUGUCCAUUCCUAUAAUUUAUCUUGUGCACAGUUGUAUCCUCUAUUUCCCAUAACAGACUGCCAGCUUUUGGACCCAGAAUGUUUAUCCUUCAGAUUAUUCCUGCUCUCUCCAAAAUUAUUGUAGUCCCUUUGGGAAUAAUUCAUAGUGAUGGUCAGGGGCUCUACAUACAAAUUAAGGGGCCUUUGGAGGGACCUGAAUCUGUUUAUAUGUAUUCUAUAUUUAAUUUUAAAUAUUUAGUAAUUUGUUAAUUUGGUAACAUGUUCAUUUUCAUUUUGCAUAUUUGUUUCAUUAAUAAAACAUUGACAUGUUAUUGUUUACAGACGGAUAUCAAAUUCCAUUGAGACAUAAAGUGGCUUCUUAUCUUUAUUGGGAAAUGAUCCAUUUAAAGCAAAGUAAACCCUAAAAAACAAGCAGUGUAGAAGUACUGUAUUUUUUAUAUUGAACUUGCUGUACAGCAGCUUUGUAACUAAUCAUCAGGCCUUUAAUGUUAUC